AAAGGAAUUGACGGGGGCCCGCACAAGCAGCGGAGCAUGUUGUUUAAUUCGAAGCUACGCGAAGAACCUUACCAGGGCUUGACAUCCCUUGAGCGCUCCGGAAACGGAGAGUCCCUACGGGGCAAGGAGACAGGUGGUGCAUGGUUGUCGUCAGCUCGUGUCGUGAGAUGUUAGGUUAAGUCCUGCAACGAGCGCAACCCCUAUGUUCAGUUACUAACGCGUUGAGGCGAGGACUCUGGACAGACUGCCGAGAAUAACUCGGAGGAAGGUGGGGACGACGUCAAAUCAUCAUGCCCCUUAUGUCCUGGGCUACAAACGUGCUACAAUGGUCGCAACAAAGGGAAGCAAAAGCGCAAGCUGGAGCGGAUCUCAAAAAAGCGGUCUCAGUUCGGAUCGUGGGCUGCAACCCGCCCGCGUGAAGUCGGAGUUGCUAGUAAUCGCGGAUCAGCAUGCCGCGGUGAAUACGUUCCCGGGCCUUGUACACACCGCCCGU
rnacentral:rRNA from 1 species